rnacentral:rRNA from 1 species
AUUGAACGCUGGCGGCAGGCCUAACACAUGCAAGUCGAGCGGUAGCACAGAGAGCUUGCUCUCGGGUGACGAGCGGCGGACGGGUGAGUAAUGUCUGGGAAACUGCCUGAUGGAGGGGGAUAACUACUGGAAACGGUAGCUAAUACCGCAUAACGUCGCAAGACCAAAGUGGGGGACCUUCGGGCCUCAUGCCAUCAGAUGUGCCCAGAUGGGAUUAGCUAGUAGGUGGGGUAAUGUCUCACCUAGGCGACGAUCCCUAGCUGGUCUGAGAGGAUGACCAGCCACACUGGAACUGAGACACGGUCCAGACUCCUACGGGAGGCAGCAGUGGGGAAUAUUGCACAAUGGGCGCAAGCCUGAUGCAGCCAUGCCGCGUGCGUGAAGAAGGCCUUCGGGUUGUAAAGUACUUUCAGCGGGGAGGAAGGCGAUAAGGUUAAUAACCUCAUCGAUUGACGUUACCCGCAGAAGAAGCACCGGCUAACUCCGUGCCAGCAGCCGCGGUAAUACGGAGGGUGCAAGCGUUAAUCGGAAUUACUGGGCGUAAAGCGCACGCAGGCGGUCUGUCAAGUCGGAUGUGAAAUCCCCGGGCUCAACCUGGGAACUGCAUUCGAAACUGGCAGGCUAGAGUCUUGUAGAGGGGGGUAGAAUUCCAGGUGUAGCGGCGAAAUGCGUAGAGAUCUGGAGGAAUACCGGUGGCGAAGGCGGCCCCCUGGACAAAGACUGACGCUCAGGUGCGAAAGCGUGGGGAGCAAACAGGAUUAGAUACCCUGGUAGUCCACGCCGUAAACGAUGUCGAUUUGGAGGUUGUGCCCUUGAGGCGUGGCUUCCGGAGCUAACGCGUUAAAUCGACCGCCUGGGGAGUACGGCCGCAAGGUUAAAACUCAAAUGAAUUGACGGGGGCCCGCAUAAGCGGUGGAGCAUGUGGUUUAAUUCGAUGCAACGCGAAGAACCUUACCUGGUCUUGACAUCCACAGAACUUUCCAGAGAUGGAUUGGUGCCUUCGGGAACUGUGAGACAGGUGCUGCAUGGCUGUCGUCAGCUCGUGUUGUGAAAUGUUGGGUUAAGUCCCGCAACGAGCGCAACCCUUAUCCUUUGUUGCCAGCGGUCCGGCCGGGAACUCAAAGGAGACUGUCAGUGAUAAACUGGAGGAAGGUGGGGAUGACGUCAAGUCAUCAUGGCCCUUACGACCAGGGCUACACACGUGCUACAAUGGCAUAUACAAAGAGAAGCGACCUCGCGAGAGCAAGCGGACCUCAUAAAGUAUGUCGUAGUCCGGAUUGGAGUCUGCAACUCGACUCCAUGAAGUCGGAAUCGCUAGUAAUCGUAGAUCAGAAUGCUACGGUGAAUACGUUCCCGGGCCU